UUUAUGGAGAGUUUGAUCCUGGCUCAGGAUGAACGCUGGCGGCGUGCCUAAUACAUGCAAGUCGAGCGAACGGACGAGAAGCUUGCUUCUCUGAUGUUAGCGGCGGACGGGUGAGUAACACGUGGAUAACCUACCUAUAAGACUGGGAUAACUUCGGGAAACCGGAGCUAAUACCGGAUAAUAUUUUGAACCGCAUGGUUCAAAAGUGAAAGACGGUCUUGCUGUCACUUAUAGAUGGAUCCGCGCUGCAUUAGCUAGUUGGUAAGGUAACGGCUUACCAAGGCAACGAUGCAUAGCCGACCUGAGAGGGUGAUCGGCCACACUGGAACUGAGACACGGUCCAGACUCCUACGGGAGGCAGCAGUAGGGAAUCUUCCGCAAUGGGCGAAAGCCUGACGGAGCAACGCCGCGUGAGUGAUGAAGGUCUUCGGAUCGUAAAACUCUGUUAUUAGGGAAGAACAUAUGUGUAAGUAACUGUGCACAUCUUGACGGUACCUAAUCAGAAAGCCAUGGCUAACUACGUGCCAGCAGCCGCGGUAAUACGUAGGUGGCAAGCGUUAUCCGGAAUUAUUGGGCGUAAAGCGCGCGUAGGCGGUUUUUUAAGUCUGAUGUGAAAGCCCACGGCUCAACCGUGGAGGGUCAUUGGAAACUGGAAAACUUGAGUGCAGAAGAGGAAAGUGGAAUUCCAUGUGUAGCGGUGAAAUGCGCAGAGAUAUGGAGGAACACCAGUGGCGAAGGCGACUUUCUGGUCUGUAACUGACGCUGAUGUGCGAAAGCGUGGGGAUCAAACAGGAUUAGAUACCCUGGUAGUCCACGCCGUAAACGAUGAGUGCUAAGUGUUAGGGGGUUUCCGCCCCUUAGUGCUGCAGCUAACGCAUUAAGCACUCCGCCUGGGGAGUACGACCGCAAGGUUGAAACUCAAAGGAAUUGACGGGGACCCGCACAAGCGGUGGAGCAUGUGGUUUAAUUCGAAGCAACGCGAAGAACCUUACCAAAUCUUGACAUCCUUUGACAACUCUAGAGAUAGAGCCUUCCCCUUCGGGGGACAAAGUGACAGGUGGUGCAUGGUUGUCGUCAGCUCGUGUCGUGAGAUGUUGGGUUAAGUCCCGCAACGAGCGCAACCCUUAAGCUUAGUUGCCAUCAUUAAGUUGGGCACUCUAAGUUGACUGCCGGUGACAAACCGGAGGAAGGUGGGGAUGACGUCAAAUCAUCAUGCCCCUUAUGAUUUGGGCUACACACGUGCUACAAUGGACAAUACAAAGGGCAGCGAAACCGCGAGGUCAAGCAAAUCCCAUAAAGUUGUUCUCAGUUCGGAUUGUAGUCUGCAACUCGACUACAUGAAGCUGGAAUCGCUAGUAAUCGUAGAUCAGCAUGCUACGGUGAAUACGUUCCCGGGUCUUGUACACACCGCCCGUCACACCACGAGAGUUUGUAACACCCGAAGCCGGUGGAGUAACCUUUUAGGAGCUAGCCGUCGAAGGUGGGACAAAUGAUUGGGGUGAAGUCGUAACAAGGUAGCCGUAUCGGAAGGUGCGGCUGGAUCACCUCCUUU
rnacentral:rRNA from 1 species